AACGAACGCUGGCGGCAUGCCUAACACAUGCAAGUCGAACGAGACCUUCGGGUCUAGUGGCGCACGGGUGCGUAACGCAUGGGAACCUGCCCGUAGGUUCGGAAUAACUCCCCGCAAGGGGUGCUAAUACCGGAUAAUGUCUUCGGACCAAAGAUUUAUCGGCUUUGGAUGGGCCCGCGUUGGAUUAGCUAGUUGGUAGGGUAAAAGCCUACCAAGGCGGCGAUACAUAGCUGGUCUGAGAGGAUGAUCAGCCACACUGGGACUGAGACACGGCCCAGACUCCUACGGGAGGCAGCAGUGGGGAAUAUUGGACGAUGGGCGAGAGACUGAUCCAGCAAUGCCGCGUGAGUGAUGAAGGCCUUAGGGUUGUAAAGCUCUUUUAAACGGGAUGAUAAUGACAGUACCGGGAGAAUAAGCGCCGGCUAACUCCGUG
rnacentral:rRNA from 1 species